UAGAGCGCCAGGAAGAGGCAGUUGGAGAAAAAGACUGGCAGGAUCUGCAGGGUGAUCAGCAAGUCUACGCUGAGGAGUCCCAUCUUCUCUGCCUCCUCGGUGCCUCUUGUGAGGAUGACAGCUGUCCAGAUACUGGAUUUCUGCCACCAUCUCAUUUCAAAGAGGCCACCAAACAGCUGUUAGGAGGCAAGAGUGUCCAUUUGCUACUGACCAGGGAAUUAUUCACCUCUGAAAAUAUCCAAAUUGUGGGAAUGUUAUGAACCAGGACUUCACAAAGAACAGAGCAGAAUACUGUCUCAUCAUGACGUGUGCACACUCCUCCAGGAUACAGAGGUCUCAGGAUGGACGAUUUGAACUCACCCUCUUCGGGCAAGGGGACAGAUACUAACUACCAGCCUGGCUGAACCCAAAUGUCCAAUCCUCCGGUUCUGUUCAUCCCAUGCUUUACCACAGCCAUGCGGGGUGAAGGUUCACCCGUCCUCUCACGACAGACCACUCUAACAGAACUGAGGGAAAUAGAGGAUGUUUCCUGUGAGAUCAUUCCAGAAAGAUGGAGAAAUUAAGAUUGUAGAGUUACACCUAGAAAAUAAGAGACUGUGAUAUCUGUAGAUAGUGACCAUUCUUGUUUCAUAUUUGUUUCAAUUUGUUGCUGGAAAAUAAUUAAAUCCUGAGAUUAAAAUUUUUAUUUUGUUUUGUGUUUUCUCAAGACAGGGUCUCACUGUGCAGCUCAGGCUGUCCUGGAAUCACUAUGCUGACGUCAGACUCACAGAGAUCCGCUGCCUCUGCCUCCCAAGUGUUAGCAUGAAAGCAUGCACUGCUGUGCCUAGCUGAGAUUAAUAAUGAUUAUGGAAAAAUUAAAGCAGAAGCAAAAUUUAAGAGCAAUAUAAGGAAAGCCAUUUAGAACAAAUAUAAACUCAGGACCAAUUUCACUUCUGCUGCCUCUAGGUACCUCCUCAGUUCCUCUGUAAUAAUGAAGGUGUUUCUAAUAAUGUUUUGUAUACCCUACAAAGCCUGGCAUAACUGUCUUCUGAGAAGCUUCAUCUAGCAGCUGAUGGAAACACAUGCAGAGAUCCACAGCUAAACAAUAAGGGAGUUCGAGAAGUCUUGCAGAAGAGUUGGGAUGGAGGGAGAAUUAAGAGAGCUGGAGGACUGAAAGGACACCAUGUGACCCACAGAGUCAACUAAACUGGGGUCCCUGGGGCUAAUAGAGACUGAACCACCAGCCAAACAGUAUGCACAGGUUUGACCCCAGCUCCCUGCACAGAAGUAAGAGAUGUACAGCUUGUUCUUCAUGUGGGUGCCCUAACAAAUAGAAGUGGAGCUAUCUCUAACUCUGUUCCCUGCCUUUGAUUCCUUUCCCAUAGCUGGGCUGCCUUGUCUGGCCUCUGUGGGGGAGGAUGCUCUUAGUUAGCCCUGCUACAACUUGAUGUACCAGGAUGGGUUGGUAGUCAUAGCGGACCUCCCCUUCUUUGAGGUAAAGAGGAUGGGGAGUGGGUGAGGGGUGGGGUUAGAACUUGAAGAGAGGAGAGAAAGAGCUACAAUCAGGCUAUAAAGUGAAUAAUUGUUUCCAUUAGUGUACCCUUUAAUGACAUGAAGUACACAUACUGGCACAGAGUGAGAUUGCUUUUUAGAUCAUGAAAUGAUCUCAGUUUGCUCAUUCACACUCGUUGAAAGGAAUGUACCAUGAGGUAUGAGAGGAGAUUGCUUCCUAGAUCAUAAGAAUUUUCAGAUACAAGAAAUACAAUUAGUAAGAGCCCACACAGGUUCUCAAUACAAUGUCAACAUGCUUCAUAAUGUGUAGUUUUCAUUAGGAAAUCUCACUGGUUUGAGAAAUUAUGUAAAUUUAAAAAAUAAAAAUAGAAAUCAUAAGAAUAUAAAAGGUUUUAGUGAAAUUCAUGACAAUGGGUCUUGAUGCCUACUUUUCUAAAGUCAUUCUCCUCUCUAGGUUAUUAAAUGUCCCACAAGUAGCUGUCUUUCCCACUGGAAAUCUAGCAUCUUCUCAAUCACUUACAUUGAAGACCCCCAUCCCCCAAAUAGAUGUCUUAGAGAACUUUCUGGGAGAAAAUACAAUGCCCUGUCUCCAUUAUCAUUGAUGACUAGGUGACAUGUAGAAGGUGAAAAGGUGGUGUGUGUGUGUGUGUGUGUGUGUGUGUGUGUGUGUGUGUGUGUGCAUGUAUCUUCUUCUCUGCAUUUUCUCCAACUGAAGGUAUAAAGAUUUACCUGAUAUUAUUCUUGCAUCAUACACUUGCAUAUGCAUGUACAUUAAAUUAUGUAGUCAUGCGCUACUAUAUUAAAAAGCAUACUCCAAUAAUAUAUCUCAGUAUAUGAAAAUUGCUUUCUUUUCCUACAGUAUAUAAAAGUGCCAGGGCAAUCUGCUCUCUGUGCUCAGACACCAGAAAGCUAAACUUUGAGUGAUAUCCAACUUUAUGAGACACAUAAAGAUGAAAUAAAAAUGGGAAAGAAGAUAAACAUUUAAGGAGAUAAACACUGUCAAACAGAAAUGAUUACAAAGUUUGUAACAAUUUGUAUUUUUCAUUGUUUUCUGUGUACCUGGCUUUUCCACACUAUGAAUUUCUUUUGUUCAUUUCACCUUCUCUUAAUAUAUAAUGUUUGUUCCCAUAACCACGGACAUUAAAGUGAAGAAUGGGAGCCAAGACUCAGUUGAUAUUUAUUGAGAGAAAUAUAAGCAACUGGAAAAUGGAAAACUCUCCUUAUAUUAUUGAAUGCUUUGUCUAGCUACUUUCCUUUGAUAGCUCUGGAAAAUUGAACUCCUUUUCUAUACUGUCUGUGCCAUAUAGAAUCACCACAUUCAACCUAUUUUUAAUUUAUAAACUAGCAAUUCCCUAUUAUUUAAACAUAAUACAAUGUCAAAAAGCAGAAGGCAUGCUCACUGCUGUUGCAUCAGAGUUGUGUGUGUGUGUGUGUGUGUGUGUGUGUGUGUGUGUGUGUGUGUGUGUGUGUGUGUUUCUUGGUGAAAUGCAGAGAGGUAACAAGUUAUUGUUUCCAUUGGUGUACCCUUCCUAAAUGUUAAAUUUUUGUUUCAUUAAAUUUCAUCAUUUUAUGAUGAAAACAACAUUGUAACUUUUAGUGUUACCCAUCAAUAACUGUCAUUAGACUAAUACAACUCCCAAGAGAAAUCGCAUAUUAUUACAAAUUAUAUUCAUUAGUGUAUAAAAUAGAAACCAUAGAACCAUCUUCAAAACAACCUAACAUGUACAUUAGAUAUAUAAAAUAAUAGUCCUUAAAAACCCAGUAGGAUUCUAAGGUAGAAAAGUUUCUGUUUUUGUUUUUAGUUAAAAAUCAAUUGUGCUUACUGUGUAUUAGUAAGGAGGGGAGAGAACAGUGGACACACUUAGAGGUAAAUGAAAAAGAAGGCUGAAUGGGAGACCAACUAACAUAAACUUGCAUGAGACUGGGCUCUCAAGUAACUAAAAACCACCUGUGCUACAACCUAACCCUCUGAGGCUUUUCUUCUAUGUCUGAGAAGUUGAUAAAGUAGAUGAAAGAUCUUUAGAGUGCAGUGCAAUUCCUUCUCUGAGUAAGCAGUAUCUCUCUGCUCCUCUUAAGCCCACUUACUGUUAACAAGACCAUUAAAUGCUUGGAGUUCAAGUUAACCACUCGAUUCUAGGAUUCAUUUGGUGUGUUUCAUUGAGAAACAGUUAAAUAAAUUCCACAAAAUGUUGGACUUCUUCUUGUGUGGUGUCUAAUGGUCUGUGACAAUACACUCAUUUGGAGGAUCUUUUGAUGAUUAGAAGUUCAUACAUUUAAUGUUGACUCCUUUUAUACUUUAUGGAUUCUCGUUGAGAAACUUUGUAUUUUCUUAGCUGAUCAUCUCUGAGAGAACAUAACCUUUGGCCCAUAUGGAACCCUGGAAGAUUUCAAGUGAGGAGUGCCUUUUUUAUCAGCCAUCGGUAACGGUUCAAGCCUGUAAUCAUCACUUGAGAGGCUGAGACAAUAACCAGCUUGAAAACAGCCUGGGAUACACAAGAAUACAUUGAAGCAAGAAGCAGGUACCAGAAGGAAAAGAAAAUAAGGACAUCAUGAAAAGGAACAGGAGAGAAAGAGGGGCUGGAGAGGAGAUGGCUCAGUGGUUAAGAGCACUGAUUGCUCCCUCUCAUGACUUGAACUGAGGCUGAGGCAUGGCUGUCUCUGCCAGGUCAUAUCACCACUGUUACCAAACUGACUCUGCCGAAAUGGACUGCUGCUGUAUCCAUGAAGUG
rnacentral:lncRNA from 1 species